rnacentral:rRNA from 1 species
UCGACCAGAGGAAAAAGGAGCAAUCCGCUUUGAGAUGGCCUCGCGUCCGAUUAGCUAGUUGGUGAGGUAACGGCCCACCAAGGCAACGAUCGGUAGCCGGACUGAGAGGUUGAACGGCCACAUUGGGACUGAGACACGGCCCAGACUCCUACGGGAGGCAGCAGUGGGGAAUAUUGCACAAUGGGGGAAACCCUGAUGCAGCGACGCCGCGUGGAGGAAGAAGGUCUUCGGAUUGUAAACUCCUGUUGUUGAGGAAGAUAAUGACGGUACUCAACAAGGAAGUGACGGCUAACUACGUGCCAGCAGCCGCGGUAAAACGUAGGUCACAAGCGUUGUCCGGAAUUACUGGGUGUAAAGGGAGCGCAGGCGGGAAGACAAGUUGGAAGUGAAAUCUAUGGGCUCAACCCAUAAACUGCUUUCAAAACUGUUUUUCUUGAGUAGUGCAGAGGUAGGCGGAAUUCCCGGUGUAGCGGUGGAAUGCGUAGAUAUCGGGAGGAACACCAGUGGCGAAGGCGGCCUACUGGGCACCAACUGACGCUGAGGCUCGAAAGUGUGGGUAGCAAACAGGAUUAGAUACCCUGGUAGUCCACACCGUAAACGAUGAUUACUAGGUGUCGGAGGAUUGACCCCCUCAGUGCCGCAGUUAACACAAUAAGUAAUCCACCUGGGGAGUACGACCGCAAGGUUGAAACUCAAAGGAAUUGACGGGGGCCCGCACAAGCAGUGGAGUAUGUGGUUUAAUUCGACGCAACGCGAAGAACCUUACCAAGUCUUGACAUCCCUCGACGAACAUAGAAAUAUGUUUUCUCUUCGGAGCAAGGAGACAGGUGGUGCAUGGUUGUCGUCAGCUCGUGUCGUGAGAUGUUGGGUUAAGUCCCGCAACGAGCGCAACCCUUACUGUCAAUUACUACGCAAGAGGACUCUGGCAGGACUGCCGUUGACAAAACGGAGGAAGGUGGGGAGGACGUCAAAUCAUCACGCCCCCUAUGAGCAGGGCUACACACGUGCUACAAUGGCGUAAACAAAGGGAAGCGAGCCUGCGAGGGUAAGCAAAUCUCAAAAAUAACGUCUCAGUUCGGAUUGUAGUCUGCAACUCGACUACAUGAAGCUGGAAUCGCUAGUAAUCGCGAAUCAGCAUGUCGCGGUGAAUACGUUCCCGGGUCUUGUACA